GGCGCGAAAACUUUACAAUGCUGGCAACAGCGAUAAGGGAACCUCGAGUGCCAGGUUACAAAUCUGGCUGUCGAGAUGCCUAAAAAGCAUUUCAUAGCAAGGGCCGGGCAAGACCGGUGCCAGCCGCCGCGGUAACACCGGCGGCUCGAGUGGUAACCGUUAUUAUUGGGUCUAAAGGGUCUGUAGCCGGCCGGAUAAGUCUCUUGAGAAAUCUGGCAGCUUAACUGUCAGGCUUUCAGGAGAUACUGUCUGGCUCGAGGCCGGGAGAGGUGAGAGGUACGUCAGGGGUAGGGGUGAAAUCUUGUAAUCCUUGAAGGACCACCAGUGGCGAAGGCGUCUCACCAGAACGGACCUGACGGCAAGGGACGAAAGCUAGGGGCACGAACCGGAUUAGAAACCCGGGUAGUCC
rnacentral:rRNA from 1 species